rnacentral:rRNA from 1 species
UACGAAGGGGGCAAGCGUUGUUCGGAAUUACUGGGCGUAAAGGGCGCGUAGGCGGUACUUCAAGUCAGGCGUGAAAGCCCCGGGCUCAACCUGGGAACCGCGCUUGAGACUGGAGAACUAGAGUUCGGGAGAGGAUGGUGGAAUUCCCAGUGUAGAGGUGAAAUUCGUAGAUAUUGGGAAGAACACCGAUGGCGAAGGCAGCCAUCUGGACCGACACUGACGCUGAGGCGCGAAAGCGUGGGGAGCAAACAGG